AUGGACAUUCCCCUAGCUGAUAUUCUUACAACCACGUCUAGGUCAGAGAGUGAAAACUCAUUUUUCAAGAAUUUCCUCAUGUGCAAGCUUGCUUUUGUUGAGUUUUGGCUUAGGUUUGACACAACGUUGAAAAGUAAGAGGCAAGAGGAAUUGAUUGCCGACCACACAAGCAUACAUACCACACCUAGGUUGUUGACAUGUUGGAAGGUGGAACGGCAAGGUAGCAUAAUAUUCACACAUGAGUUCUUUGCCUUGCUUCAGUCAGAAGUAUUUGCUGCUAGAGAGCAUUGUGAUGUCCAGGACACCACAACUGUCGGGGGUUUGAAUAUCUUGUCCAUUAGCGAUCAAAGUCAUCGGAAAAACAAGGUAAGAGAGGUACACUUGGAACAACAACCAUCAUUGCUAGAUGUUCUUGCAAGCUCUUUGAGUCAAAAGGCAUUGUUUGUCGCCAUGUCAUACGUGUCUUGA
rnacentral:rRNA from 1 species